rnacentral:rRNA from 1 species
UAACAAGGUUUCCGUAGGUGAACCUGCGGAAGGAUCAUUAUUGAAUUAAACCCUGGUCGGGUUGUUGCUGGCCUCU